AGUCGCCGCGGUAAGACAGAGGAUGCAAGCGUUAUCCGGAAUGAUUGGGCGUAAAGCGUCUGUAGGUGGCUUUUCAAGUCCGCCGUCAAAUCCCAGGGCUCAACCCUGGACAGGCGGUGGAAACUACCAAGCUGAAGUACGGUAGGGGCAGAGGGAAUUUCCAGUGGAGCGGUGAAAUGCGUUGAGAUCGAAAAGAACACCAACAGCGAAAGCACUCUGCUGGGACGACACUGACACUAAGAGACGAAAGCUAGGGGAGCAAAUGGGAUUAGAUACCCCCGUAGUCCCUGUCUCUUAUACA
rnacentral:rRNA from 1 species